UGACUCGUAGCUCAAUGGUAGAGCACUCGGCUGUUAAUCGAGGCAUUGUGGGUUCAAUCCCCACCGAAUCAG
rnacentral:tRNA from 1 species